rnacentral:rRNA from 1 species
AGUGAACGCUGGCGGUAGGCCUAACACAUGCAAGUCGAACGGCAGCACAGGAGAGCUUGCUCUCUAGGUGGCGAGUGGCGGACGGGUGAGGAAUACAUCGGAAUCUGCCCAGUCGUGGGGGAUAACGUAGGGAAACUUACGCUAAUACCGCAUACGACCUUCGGGUGAAAGAGGGGGAUCGCAAGACCUCUCGCGAUUGGAUGAGCCGAUGUCGGAUUAGCUAGUUAGCGGGGUAAUGGCCCACCAAGGCGACGAUCCGUAGCUGGUCUGAGAGGAUGAUCAGCCACACUGGAACUGAGACACGGUCCCGACUCCUACGGGAGGCAGCAGUGGGGAAUAUUGGACAAUGGGCGCAAGGCUGAUCCAGCCAUACCGCGUGGGUGAAGAAGGCCUUCGGGUUGUAAAGCCCUUUUGUUGGGAAAGAAAUCUUUCAGGCUAAUACCCUGGGAGGAUGACGGUACCCAAAGAAUAAGCACCGGCUAACUUCGUG